rnacentral:rRNA from 1 species
UCCUACGGGGGGCAGCAGUGAGGAAUAUUGGACAAUGGGCGAAAGCCUGAUCCAGCAAUGCCGCGUGAGUGAUGAAGGCCUUCGGGUUGUAAAGCUCUUUCAGUGGGGAAGAUAAUGACGGUACCCACAGAAGAAGCCCCGGCUAACUUCGUGCCAGCAGCCGCGGUAAUACGAAGGGGGCAAGCGUUACUCGGAAUUAUUGGGCGUAAAGAGUGCGUAGGCGGUUUUGUAAGUCAGGAAUGAAAUCCUUAAGCUCAACUUAAGGGCUGUUUCUGAAACUGCAAGGCUUGAAUAUCGGAGGGGAUAGCGGAAUUCCUAGUGUAGGGGUGGAAUCCGUAGAUAUUAGGAGGAACACCGGAGGCGAAAGCGGCUAUCUGGACGAUUAUUGACGCUGUUGCACGAAAGCGUGGGGAGCAAACAGGAUUAGAUACCCGGGUAGUCC